AGGUCUGCCUGCGGCCUGGAAGCCUCCCUCAGGAAGUGGGUGAUUCCUUCUCACCUAGAAAUUCCUUGGGGUGAGAGGAGGUCCCCUAUGUGCCCAAUGGCAGUGUCCUGCUCGGGGGGACUAAAGGCAAUGCCACACAGGGAAUGACGCCGAGGCCGCAAAAUACAGAAACUUGCGGUCCCAGCGCAUGGAGGCCGUCCUGUGGGACGAGCAGAAAGGAGCCUGGUUCGAAAAUGGGAAAAAGGGAAGAAGAACCUGGAGUUUUAUCCUUCCAACCUCACCCCGCUCUGGACUGGCUGCUUCUCAGACCCUAGUGUCAUUGACAAGGCUCUGAAAUACUUGGAGUCUGCAGCGUAUGAGAUGAGGUGGCAAGGGCAUCCCACUGUCUCCAGAACCUUCUUCCCCAGCAGUGACAAACACAGAUGGCCGCCAGCCUCAGCCCUGCAGGAAAGGACAGGCCAACCACAGAGCUCAGAAGUGACAGCUGCCAGUAAGCUCCUUUCUGUGCCGCCUCCCCCCAUCCC